rnacentral:rRNA from 1 species
GAUGAACGCUGGCGGCGUGCCUAAUACAUGCAAGUCGAGCGAACGGACGAGAAGCUUGCUUUUCUGAUGUUAGCGGCGGACGGGUGAGUAACACGUGGAUAACCUACCUAUAAGACUGGGAUAACUUCGGGAAACCGGAGCUAAUACCGGAUAAUAUUUUGAACCGCAUGGUUCAAAAGUGAAAGACAGUCUUGCUGUCACUUAUAGAUGGAUCCGCGCUGCAUUAGCUAGUUGGUAAGGUAACGGCUUACCAAGGCAACGAUGCAUAGCCGACCUGAGAGGGUGAUCAGCCACACUGGAACUGAGACACGGUCCAGACUCCUACGGGAGGCAGCAGUAGGGAAUCUUCCGCAAUGGGCGAAAGCCUGGCGGAGCAACGCCGCGUGAGUGAUGAAGGUCUUCGGAUCGUAAAACUCUGUUAUUAGGGAAGAACAUAUGUGUAAGUAACUGUGCACAUCUUGACGGUACCUAAUCAGAAAGCCACGGCUAACUACGUG